rnacentral:rRNA from 1 species
GAUGAACGCUGGCGGCGUGCCUAAUACAUGCAAGUCGAGCGAACAGGCGAGGCUCUUGCUCCUCUGACGUUAGCGGCAGGCGGGUGUAUAACGCGUGGAUAACCUCCCUAUCAUACUGGGAUCACUUCGGAAAACCGGCGCUAAUACCGUAUGAUAUAUUGCACCGCGUGGUUCGUUGGUGAGAGACGGCUUUGCGGGCAGUUAUAGAUGGAUCUCCGCCGUAUUGGCUAGUUGGUGAGGUAAAGGCUUACCAAGGCAACUAUGCGUAGCCGACCGGAUAGGCUGAUCGGCCACCUUGGAACUGAGACAGGGUCCAGACUCCUAAGGGAGGCAGCAGUAGGGAAUCGUCCGCAAAGGGCGAAAGCCUGACGGAGCAACGGCGCGUGAGUGAUGAAGGCCUUCGGAGCGUAAAACUCUGUUAUUAGGGAAGAACAAAUGUGUAAGUAACUAUGCACGUCUUGACGGUAACUAAUCAGAAAGCCCCGGCUAACUACGUG